rnacentral:rRNA from 1 species
AGUGAACGCUGGCGGUAGGCCUAACACAUGCAAGUCGAACGGCAGCACAGUAAGAGCUUGCUCUUACGGGUGGCGAGUGGCGGACGGGUGAGGAAUACAGCGGAAUCUACUUUUUCGUGGGGGAUAACGUAGGGAAACUUACGCUAAUACCGCAUACGACCUACGGGUGAAAGCAGGGGAUCUUCGGACCUUGCGCGAUUGCAUGAGCCGAUGUCGGAUUAGCUAGUUGGCGGGGUAAAGGCCCACCAAGGCGACGAUCCGUAGCUGGUCUGCGAGGAUGAUCAGCCACACUGGAACUGAAACACGGUCCAGACUCCUACGGAAGGCAGCAGUGGGGAAUAUUGGACAAUGGGCGCAAGCCUGAUCCAGCCAUACCGCGUGGGUGAAGAAGGCCUUCGGUUUGUAAAGCCCUUUUGUUGGGAAAGAAAAGCAGCAGGUUAAUACCCCGCUGUUCUGACGGUACCCAAAGAAUAAGCACCGGCUAACUUCGUG